AGAGUUUGAUCAUGGCUCAGAGCGAACGCUGGCGGCAGGCCUAACACAUGCAAGUCGAACGGAUCCUUCGGGAUUAGUGGCGGACGGGUGAGUAACACGUGGGAACGUGCCUUUUGGUUCGGAACAACUCAGGGAAACUUGAGCUAAUACCGAAUGUGCCCUUCGGGGGAAAGAUUUAUCGCCAUUAGAGCGGCCCGCGUCUGAUUAGCUAGUUGGUGGGGUAAAGGCUCACCAAGGCUACGAUCAGUAGCUGGUCUGAGAGGAUGAUCAGCCACAUUGGGACUGAGACACGGCCCAAACUCCUACGGGAGGCAGCAGUGGGAAUCUUGCGCAAUGGGCGAAAGCCUGACGCAGCCAUGCCGCGUGAAUGAUGAAGGUCUUAGGAUUGUAAAAUUCUUCACCGGGGACGAUAAUGACGGUACCCGGAGAAGAAGCCCCGGCUAACUUCGUG
rnacentral:rRNA from 1 species